rnacentral:rRNA from 1 species
CCUACGGGAGGCUGCAGUGGGGAAUCUUGCACAAUGGGCGAAAGCCUGAUGCAGCGACGCCGCGUGAGGGAAGAAGGCUUUCGGGUUGUAAACCUCUUUCAGGAGGGACGAAGCUACUCGGGUGAAUAGCCCAGAGGGUGACGGUACCUCCAGAAGAAGCCCCGGCUAACUACGUGCCAGCAGCCGCGGUAAUACGUAGGGGGCAAGCGUUGUCCGGAUUUAUUGGGCGUAAAGAGCGUGUAGGCGGCCAGACAGGUCCGUUGUGAAAACUCGAGGCUCAACCUCGAGACGCCGAUGGAAACCGUCUGGCUAGAGUCCGGAAGAGGAGAGUGGAAUUCCUGGUGUAGCGGUGAAAUGCGCAGAUAUCAGGAAGAACACCCGUGGCUAAGGCGGCUCUCUAGUACGGUACUGACGCUGAGACGCGAAAGCGUGGGGAGCGAACAGGAUUAGAUACCCCAGUAGUC